UUACCAAUCAGUCGGGUUUCGUUAUCGACGUAUUGAAGGAUGUUGACCACCGAGAAUCUUGAAGGCCCUCCUAGAAAAUUAAUUCUUCCGGACACCUAAAACAGCCAUUUCGACAUAUUCAGACCUGCACCACCUAUCAAAAAUCGGCAUGGACAUUCCGGACAACCCAAUAGAUCCUAUUUUAAGGGAAGACGGCGUAAGUCACGUUGUUUAGCCUGUCGAAGGUGACGGUAGCAUUGAACUUAUCAUCCAUCUCGAUGAUAGAGACACCCGAGUAUCCAAG